rnacentral:rRNA from 1 species
UACGUAGGGUGCAAGCGUUAAUCGGAAUUACUGGGCGUAAAGCGUGCGCAGGCGGCUUUGCAAGACAGAUGUGAAAUCCCCGGGCUUAACCUGGGAACUGCAUUUGUGACUGCAUAGCUGGAGUGCGGCAGAGGGGGAUGGAAUUCCGCGUGUAGCAGUGAAAUGCGUAGAUAUGCGGAGGAACACCGAUGGCGAAGGCAAUCCCCUGGGCCUGCAUUGACGCUGAUGCGCGAAAGCUAGGGGAGCAAACGGG